rnacentral:misc_RNA from 1 species
GAAAUGCGAUAAGUAGUGUGAAUUGCAGAAUUCAGUGAAUCAUCGAAUCUUUGAACGCACAUUGCGCCCCUUGGUAUUCCAUGGGGCAUGCCUGUUCGAGCGUCAUUUGUACCCUCAAGCUCUGCUUGGUGUUGGGUGUUUGUCCCCGUCUCCGCGCGUGGACUCGCCCCAAAGUGAUUGGCAGCCGGCGUACUGGUCCCGGAGCGCAGCACAUGUCGCGCAAACGAGUGCCUUGGUACGGCGGCGUCCAUAAGCCCCUCUCUCACGCUCUUGACCUCGGAUCAGGUAGGGAUAUCCGCUGAACUUAAGC